AGUGCGCAGGCGCGCUUCCGUGGAGCAGUCCUUUGGCCCCAGCAGAGGGCUUGACCGUGGUCCUGGCCCCGGACUGAGGAGAGAGAGCCGCCUUUACCCGACAUGAGCAGGAGUUCGAGGAACAUCUGGACGAGCAAAGGCCACCAGGAGGUAGCACAGCAAAAAAGGCCAAGAGCCUGUUUUCUUUACCGAUGGCUGGCGGCAAAUAUUCCGAAAGAAACGUGUCAGGCAAGAAGCGCUAGUUCACGCCUGUCAUUCCACCGCUUUGGGAGGCCAAGGCAGGGGGAUCACUUGCCCCAGAAGUUUGAGACCAGCCUGGGCAACAUAGUGAGGCCCCUGUCUCUACAAAAAACUUAAAAUCAAUAAACAGGUCUCCUUCCUUCCUCAAUAGUCCUGUUGGUGGCUCACCUCUCUGCCUCUCCAGAUGUGAGGCAGAUCCACACGUUUAGCUAUUGAGAUAAGGCUGGGCGUGGUGGCUCACACCUGUCAUUCCGGCCUCAGAUCUCUUGUGCCCAGGAGUUUUAAGACUAGCCUGGGCGACCUGGCUGGCAACAUGGCCUCCACAAAAAUAAAUAAAACAUUUUAAAUAUAUAAACAUUGAGAUAAUAGCA
rnacentral:lncRNA from 1 species